GCGGCAUGCCUCAUACAUGCAAGUCGAACGAAAUCUUCGGAUUUAGUGGCGCACGGGUGAGUAACAUGUGGGAAUCUACCUGAAGGUUCGGAAUAACUGCGGGAAACUGUAGCUAAUACCGGAUGUGUCUGCAAAGAGAAAGAUUUAUCGCCUUCAGAUGAGCCCGCACUAGAUUAGCUAGUUGGUGAGGUAAUUGCUCCACCAAGGCUACGAUCUAUAGCUGAUUUGAGAGGAUGAUCAGCCACACUGGGACUGAGACACGGCCCAGACUCCUACGGGAGGCAGCAGUAGGGAAUAUUGGACAAUGGGGGAAACCCUGAUCCAGCAAUGCCGCGUGAGUGAAGAAGGCCUUAGGGUUGUAAAACUCUUUCAUCAACGAUGAUAAUGACAUUAAUUGAAGAAGAAGCUCCGGCUAACUUCGUGCCAGCAGCCGCGGUAAUACGAAGGGGGCUAGCGUUGUUCGGAAUCACUGGGCGUAAAGCGUAUGUAGGCGGAUCAAAAAGUUAGAUGUGAAAUCCCUGGGCUCAACCCAGGAACUGCAUUUAAAACUAGUGAUCUAGAAUUUGGUAAAGGUUAGUAGAAUUUCCAGUGUAGAGGUGAAAUUCGUAGAUAUUGGAAAGAAUACCAGAAGCGAAGGCGACUAACUAGGCCAUUUUUGACGCUGAGAUACGAAAGCGUGGGUAGCAAACAGGAUUAGAUACCCUGGUAGUCCACGCAGUAAACGAUGAGUGCUAGUCGCUGGUGCAAUAGUAUCAGUGUCGAAGCUAACGCAUUAAGCACUCCGCCUGGGAAGUAC
rnacentral:rRNA from 1 species